GGUGAGAUGUCGUCGAGCCCGAAGCAAUGAUGCCAUCUCUAGAUUAGAUGGAUGAGCAUACGGUGGAGUCUUGCUCUUGGGCCGGUGGUGGUUGGUAGCCGGACGCUGUGACGCGUUGCUAGAGAGAGCGGUGCACACACAGACAAGUUGGUAGGUUGCCAUAGUGUUGGUGGACAGGAGAUGUCCUGAUCAUGCAGGUGCAAGAAGGGGAUGUGUAGGCAUAUAUGCCUGGAGGUUGGGGGCUGUGUCUGGCCAGAAGGACUGAUAAUGGAUGUUGCUGCUGUAGGGUGGGUUUACAUUAUGGGCUAGCUUUAUGUGCAUCCUUGUGUCUUUCUUGUAUUUGUGGUUUGAUCCAUGGAUUACUUGUCUCCUUUCAAAGAAUUUCAUGUCUUUGUUGUUUUUGAUUGAAUUAUAUGUUGUUUAAUUU